rnacentral:rRNA from 1 species
GACGGAAGGUGCAAGCGUUGCUCGGAAUCACUGGGCGUAAAGGGUGCGUAGGCGGCCGCGCAAGUCUGGCGUGAAAGCCCCGGGCUCAGCCCGGGAAGGGCGCUCGAAACGGCGCGGCUCGAGUGCCGGAGGGGAGAGUGGAAUUCCUGGUGUAGCGGUGAAAUGCGUAGAUAUCAGGAGGAACACCAGUGGCGAAGGCGGCUCACUGGCCCGGUACUGACGCUGAGGUGCGAAAGCGUGGGGAGCAAACAGG